CUCUCCUUAGCUCAGCUGGAGAGCGAUAGACUGUAACUGUACACAUUGCCAUCUACAGGUCCUCGGUUCAAUCCCGAGAGGGGAGA